CUGCUGCUCCAUGGCCUUAAUCAACUAUUCCUAUGACCCCCAAUGCAAUCAUUUCUGCAGAAAAGCAGGAAUCUGCCAAAACAAGUCAUAGCAAUGCAUCAGUGUCCAGUGCUUUUGUGAAAACACCUGAAUCUGGAAAAAAGAAUAUAUUAUCCAUAGAGCUGCCUGAA